rnacentral:rRNA from 1 species
AAACUAGAGUAUGGUAGAGGGAAGUGGAAUUUCUGGUGUAGCGGUGAAAUGCGUAGAUAUCAGAAGGAACAUCAAUGGCGAAGGCAGCUUUCUGGACCAAUACUGACGCUGAGGUACGAAAGCGUGGGUAGCAAACAGGAUUAGAUACCCUGGUAGUCCACGCCGUAAACGACGAUAACUAGCCGUUGGGGGGAUUUACCCUUUAGUGGCGAAGCUAACGCGUUAAGUUAUCCGCCUGGGGAGUACGGCCGCAAGGUUAAAACUCAAAGGAAUUGACGGGGACCCGCACAAGCGGUGGAGCAUGUGGUUUAAUUCGAUGCAACGCGAAGAACCUUACCUGGUCUUGACAUCCUGCGAACUUUCUAGAAAUAGAUUGGUGCCUUCGGGAACGCAGUGACAGGUGCUGCAUGGCUGUCGUCAGCUCGUGUCGUGAGAUGUUGGGUUAAGUCCCGUAACGAGCGCAACCCCUAUCCUUAUUUGCCAGCACAUUAUGGUGGGAACUAUAAGGAGACUGCCGGUGAUAAACCGGAGGAAGGCGGGGACGACGUCAAGUCAUCAUGGCCCUUACGACCAGGGCUACACACGUGCUACAAUGGGAGGGACAAAGAGCCGCGAAGCCGCGAGGUGUAGCUAAUCUCAUAAACCUUUUCGUAGUCCGGAUUGGAGUCUGCAACUCGACUCCAUGAAGUCGGAAUCGCUAGUAAUCGUAGAUCAGAAUGCUACGGUGAAUACGUUCCCGGGUCUUGUACACACCGCCCGUCAUACCAUGGGAGUGGGUUGCACCAGAAGUGGCUAGUCUAACUUAGUGAGGACGGUCACCACGGUGUGAUUCAUGACUGGGGUAAAGUCGUAACAAGGUAACCGUA